rnacentral:snoRNA from 1 species
AUCCUCCAGAGUUCUUACCCAUUGGACCCAAACACUGGUUUGAAUGGUUAUAAAAGGAAGAAAAGUCAAAUAAUCACUGACUUAAAUUUUAUUGUGACACACAAGAGAGACUCAAAAACAC